UUAUCUCGCACGUACAAUCAUUUCGUCCGUUUCUCUGCACGAAUACCGAGAGAAAACGAACGGGUGUUCUUCGUGUUCUUCACAAUCAAACGAGGAUUUGAAGGCGUUAUUGGAAUCCGAUGGAGGCGUAUGAAUAGUCAAAACGAAGCUCUCGACGCGUAGAAUCUAUUGUAGUCAUCCAUAUCAGUGCUGAAUCAACAGAAAAGCUUAGAGAUGAAUUGCUUGAUUGAGGUUGCGAGUAUGACUAAGGCUAAGCGAGGAGUCAGAGUUAUAGAACAUCCAGAGGACAAGUGGAAUGUCCAUGGAGAUUGUCAAGGUUGGUUCUAGAUAGAAUUGUAUUGAUGAGAUUCAGUUGUAAGUCAUAAUUGAGGUAGACUGGCAGUGAUUCUUCUUAUCGAAGAUGAUCUGAGUUUGUAAGAUAAUGUUUAUUAAUAGUGGUUGAUUCUAAUUUCAAUACUGUAACCUGGAUGCGAUCCUGUUUUUAGGGGGUUAAAGUGUUUUCUUUUAAAUCUUUUACUAAAGUUUUCAGGUUUUAAA